UAUAGCUACUGCAGCAGUUCUCUUGGAAAAAUGAGAAGCAAAACCUGGCACCCGAGAGAGCAGCGUUGAUCCAACUAAUUCCUGGGCAGAAACGGAUUGGUGCAGCCAGGGAGUUGCUGCAAGGAGUGAUUGAGUGCAUGAGAAACAGACUGAUAAUCUUUCCUGUCUUUUCUUUUUCAUAGUUUUAAAUAUUUUCUAGUAGGUAGAAUAAUCUUAGGUACUAUAAUAAAUAGUAAAGUAGAACAUAUGUUGUUUUUUAUAAAAAUAAAGAAAAUAAAUUUUGACUUGUGGCCAAUCUAAACAACUUUCCUUUUCUUUUAGUUUUGUAGUUUUAGUGUUUUGUGUUUUUCCUAAUUCUGUUAUGUACAUAUUGUUCAAUCUAUGUUUUCUCAAUUCCAAUUUUUGUAUAAUUCUGAUUUUUAUGCUGAUUUCAUUCUGAUUCAUAUACAGUAAAUAACUGUGUAUACCUGUACUGUGUAGUGAUGCAGUAUCGUUCUUUCUAUUGAUUAAAAUAUUUCAAAUAAUAGCACAUACAUAUUGAGUCCUUAUUUAUGCUGCCCCUUAAUAUUCCUCCAUUUUCUUUUAUAUUUCCACUUUAAAAGCAAUGUAGUUGAUUUUCUCGUUUGUGUUAAAGUUAGUUUUAUCCUAUGUAGUUGAUUACUAUUAUUUCUCUCAUUUAUAACUAGUCUGUAAAAUAUUUAAGAAUUAGGUAGAUAUAUUUUGACAUCUACGCAUGUAGCAGAUAGUUAUAUGUUUUCCAUCUUAGUAUUUUGUAGUUGUUUUGUUGUAUAUGACUAUUUGUUAACUAAUCCUUUAUAUAUUAUUUUCAGGCAAAGCACACAUGCUAUCAAGGAAUCUUGGGUGCAAUGUCUCAAGUGUUUGGUCAAUCUGUGGCGCUGUGUGUAUUUAUGAAUGUAAAAUAAUUCCCAAAGUGUUUGGCUGAAUUAAGAAAGAGAACCUUCAUCAACAAUUAACAGUUGCUAUGUGUUAACUCUCUAUUUUUUCCUCAAUUUUGUGUGUUAAUAUUCUUCUUUUAGCAUAGUUUAGCUUUUAAUUUUCUAGAAUUAAAAUAGUUUAGAGUAAUUAGGAUUAAAAUAGGUUUUUGUAAAAUUAGUGUUAAUUUUUUUUGGUUAAAUAAAAUAUGUUUUUAAAUAAAUAAAUGUUUUUGCUCUUUUCUUUAAAUGUAGAAAUUUGUUUUUUUGAAUAUUAGGAUUUUUCUUUACUGAUUAAACUCUUAAAUUCUUUCUUUUAUUCAGAUUAAGGGCUGAAGAAAUAUAAUGGGUUAGAUAUGGCUGAUUCUUGAAGUUGCUGUUGUGUCAGCUAUGUCAAAAAGCCCAAUGUUUUAAUCUUGCUGGCAGAGGAUGAAGAAACAUGAAUUGGGUCAGCGCUGAAAUGGAAAGAAACGCACUUUUGUGUAUUUGGGCUGAAACAAGAAUAAAUUGAGUUGAGCGAUGAUGNUGUGCUGAAAACCAAUUAAGCUACGCUUUUGGAAGAAUCUGCUGAUGCUGAAUGGGNUGAAGUGAAUUGGGCCAGCGCUGUUGGAGUUAAUUUGAAGCCCUCUGUGCAGAUUAAGUGAAACGCAGCGUUUCAUGCUGCUAAGAUUUGCCAAGCUGAAGGGGUCUUCUAACUUGUGUUUCAUUUAAUGCGAGGAAGCUCGAAGCAAAGGGGGAUUUUUCUCCCAAUUCUUCUAACUCAGGGUUCUAGAGAACGCGAGAAAGAAAGGAGAGCUGGUUCGUGAGCGCAAAGCUGUAUCAGACACGUGCGGGAAGCUGGAUCAGUCAGGUUUACGGUUGGAAGCACGUGCAAAACGGUCGACGGUUGGAGAAACUUUCAGAGUCAGUUUUCGGUUCAUCUCCUUUUCCCCAUUUUUCUUCUUUUUAAUGAAAACUAAAUAUUUAAUAAGUGUUUUAUUUUAAUAUCAAGAAGUUUGUUGUAAUUAAAGAAUGUAUUAAAAUAACACUUUUUGUUACCAUAAAAUCAGAUCAAACAAAGCCCAGAAAUCUGAACUAUUCUCAUUGCUAAAAAGUUAUUCCUCCUUUUCCCCUCUCCGUUAUUCUCACACCUCUUUGCAUUCUCUCUCUAAUCUCUGCACAUAGGCUUUUCCAUUGUUCUUUCUUUUUUGUUUUUCUUCUUUCAUAUACGAAAAAUUGCAACAAAUAACAACCGUUAACAACAAACAACCAAGUUUUCAUCAAUCUUUCUUUGCUUUCAUUUAUUUUUAUUUUUUUGGUCACUGUUGGGUUAGGCCGAGAAACCCAAAAAGGAGUCGCGAGAAGUGAGAAACUCUUAUUUCAUUCUAGUUCUCCACCACUAGCCGAGAGUUCACCCUUUCUUAUCUUCUUUUCUCUUUGUUUUACUUCUUCUGCUUCGAAAAUGCAAACCCUAGGGACGUGAGGGAGAGAGAAUCCGAGGGUGGCACGAGAUUAACCUUAAGGAUGCGGAGUGCGUCAUUGGGUUUUUUUUAGGGUUUCACUCUCUUUCUUUUUGUUUUCUCAUUCUUUUUUCUUUUCCUUUUUUAUCCCAAUCGCUUUGCGGGGACGAAUUCUCUCCAUUAACAUUCAAAGCUUGUUUCUUUUUUUUUUUCUUGUUUUUAUUUCUUUUUUCUUGUAAGGGAUAGUGAAAAUUGGAAACGAAUUAACCCAAUUUCUGGCAAAUUUGUUUUCUUUUACUUUAUCGAAUUCUUGAUUUUGACAUUAGAACCUGCAACUCCGUUCUCGGUGCCACUUUAUGGAUGCAUAAAUCUUGCUACUGUUGAUUACUGUGUUUCUUUUUUCUGCAUCACAUUAUACUUAUUUAAGUGUGGUUUAUCUGCUUAAAUUGGUCUCUUAUCCUCCCCAAUAUAUACUUAGUACUUACUUAAGUUAGAUGGGUCUAUAUGUAGUAUAAUGUUUCUGCAAUAAUAUGUAANUUAUCUUUCAUCUUUUCUAAUAUUUUACUUAGUACAAGUUAGAUGGGUUUAUACUGUAGCAUAUUAUUAUUUCAGCAAAAUAUGACACUUCAUUUUCAGGCCGACUUAGGUGUAAAGACAAAGACCCAACUUAUGGCUGAGAAGUCUGUUUUUAAAAUCCUUUUGAUGACUGUCAUUGCUGCCAAUGGUGAGAGAGAUCUCACAGAUCCCACAAAUUGAUUUUGUUGUCAAUAUAUGUCGACAUUUUGCAGUAAUAUUUUCACAUUGAUUCUUUAUCUACCAAUGUAUCAGUAGCAGCACUUGGCGAUUCAUCACUCUCAAAUAACGUUCAUGUUGAUUCUAGGCUAAAAUGCAAUGCUUGUUCAAAUUUGAAGGAUCAGACACACGUGCGGGAAGCUGAUCAGUCAGAUUUACGGUUGGAUGCACGUGCAAAACGGUCGACGGUGGGAGAAGCUUUUAGAGUCAGUUUUCGGUUCAUCUCCUUUUCCCCAUUUUUCUUUUGUUUUUUUUUUCUAUAAAAGGAAGAGUUUUGUAAAAUGUAAGAACACAAGUGCAAUGAGUCAGUUUACAACUUUACUUGUUCAUUAAUUCCAUUUACAUUUUCUGCUCUUUUGAUUUCAAUUCCAAAUUACUUUUAUGAUUCAGUUUCUUGUUUUUGAUUUUCUUUUAUUGCUUCUUAUUCUGUUUCAUUUCUUUUAGUAUGUUUCAUUCAUUUCUGUUUAGUAAGUUUGUUUUCAUUAAUUGAUUUUACAUAUUAGAUGUUAGGUUUUGAUUCUUUUAGUAUNUUCUUUUAGUAUGUUUCAUUCAUUUCUGUUUAGUAAGUUUGUUUUCAUUAAUUGAUUUUACAUAUUAGAUGUUAGGUUUUGAUUCUUUUAGUAUGUUUCAUUCAUUUCUGUUUAGUAAGUUUGUUUUCAUCAAUUGAUUGUACAUAUUAGAUGUUAGGUUUUGAUUCUGUGUUAGAGUUUUGGUAAAUGCAUAUUUUGUAAUUAAAUUUGACUUGAAAUUUAAAGAAGACUAUGCAAAUCAAUAGUGUCUUGAUUGAAUGCUACAAGAUCCCAAAGAGGGCCUGAUUGUUCAAGAUGUCUUCUUGAGACAUAGGUUGCUUUAAGAUUUCAAGUUUAAAUUCAAUAGCAAAUAUGUGUUUGACAACUUCUUUUCUGAUAUGUGAUUUGGAUUAGAUUUAAAUUCUGUUUUCUUUGGUUGCUUUUAAAAUUCCAUAUUUCUGUUACUUUGAUCAUUCACCGUGGCAAUUUUGGUUCAUUAUAGGUUCUAUGUUUUUCUCUUACAUUUAGAUGAGUAUCCAAUUAAAGUUUCUUUCUAUAGCUUGUUUUUGAAUAGGUAGCGGUAGAUUUUAGAUUCUGUUAUGUCUGGGUUCUUUGCUUACAUUAGAAUAUCAUUUUAGGAUAAAAGUCAUGCAUUAUCUUCCUUUCUAUUCAUUUACUCAUUCAUGCAUCAUUCAUUAAAUUUCUUCCAUAUCAGUGCAUCCCUAUUCUUUACAUAGUUUCUGUUUUCAUCACAUUAUCUUGCAUUCAUUUAGAUUUAGUAGAUAUAUUCAGUAUUAGUUUUGUUCCUUUAAGAUUUCAUUUUAUAUUUUUUUCCCCACCUAGUUUUAGAUUUAUUUUUAAAUAAAUAGGUCACAACUCUAUAAUUUCUAAACUUGAUUUUGCCAAGUUCUAGGAUUGAUCCCUAGUCAGCCCUAUACUACAUUAGUGAGGAUUAGGUUUAGGUUUUGUUGACUUUUUGUGCAAAGGUUUAGGUUUCUGUUUCUGAAAUUCCAGCACCUGUGAGUAGUGAUUCUUGUCAUGGUAAUUCUUGCAUUCAUUUUUUUUUCUGUUUAAGCAUUCUCUUUUAUUUUGUAAAAAUCUAAAAAUAUAGGUUGUUGCUUCAGUUUUGUUUCUUGUGUUCUCUUCUGGUAUAACCUCUCUGCUUAAGUGGAUGACUAGUGCAGGAUAGUUGUUAUUGCUGUCCUUGGUCUAUAGAUAAAUUCUGUGCUGUAACUUUGGAUUAGCCAUCAUGAUCUGGCCAAGAGAGAUGUAUAUGAAGGAGUGGAAUAAUCAAGAGACAGCCUUCCAGCCUCCCUGCAUUCAAGUACCCUAAUUGAGGGGGAUGCCUAAUUUUGAGUUGAAGACCAAGCUAAUUAAGCUUCUGCCAGAAUUCCAUGGGCUGGCACAUGAAGACCCACACAAGCAUAUUAAGGAAUUCAGCUUGAUAUGUGCCUCCAUGAAGUCUACAGGAAUUUCAGAGGAAGCAGUGCUAAUGAAGGCAUUUCCCAUGUCCCUGCAUGAUGCAGCCAGAGACUGGUUUAUCUACCAGCACCAACCUUUUGGGAAUUGGCAGGAGAUGCAGCAGAGAUUCCUCAAUAAAUUUUUCCCAGCAACCGAAGUUGCCAAUAUCAGAAGGGAAAUCAUGGCUAUUGGACAGUUCCAAGAGGAAAGUUUAGUUGAGUGCUGGGAGAGAUUCAACAGGCUUUGCAUAACCUGUCCCAACCACCAGAUUUCAGAGCCCAGGCUUCUGGUUUACUUUUAUGAGGGCCUGCUUUACAAAGACAACGUGUUGGUUGAUGCAGCAGCUGGAGGUUUUCUCCUAGACAAGACACCAACAGAAGCAAGGAAGCUGUUGAACAAAAUGGCUGGAAAUGAUCCUAAUGAAGUAUCUGGUGAGCAAACAAUUCAGGUAUACUCUGAACUUAACAUUCCUAUUGAUUCCUUUGAGGUUCACAUAGAUGUCAAUGCUUUUAGUCUGCUUAAAACUGAACCCAUAGAACCUGCCACAAAUAUUUUUGCUUUCAUGCCUGGGCAUUCUGAUAUUCUUGAUUCAGCAUUUCAAAUUGAACAUAUUAACAUACCAAUUGCUGUUUCAGAUACAUGCAUUGAUCUUAAUAUCAUAUUGUAUGAUAGCCUUGAUGAUGUAGCUGAUGACUUGGAGAUGGGUAAGAUAACUUUAAAUGAGCCAACACAGGUUUAUUCUGAACUUGAGACUCCAGUCGUUUUACCUGAUGUAACUGAUACAGUGUUGAAUGAUUAUACUAAAGUUCUCGAUUCAGUUUUAGCUAUUGAACCUGUGGAUUUGAAUGCUGCUAUUUUUAACUCAAAUAUGGACUAUUGCCUUGUUGAAAUUUUGAAUGAUAAUAGAUUUGAAAUGCCCUUUGGUUCUUCUGAUAAUUCAUAUGUUAGUAUUGAUUUUGAGAUAGAAUCUGUGUAAUAUGAGAACUUUAUAGAGUUAGGACUAAACUUUGUUCUAACACAAUUUUCUGGAAAUUUCAAAUGUGAUUGUGAAUCUGGUUCUUGCUCCAUUUGCACUGAGAUAAAUUCUGUUAUACAGCCAGAACUCAAAGUCCUAACAGAUGCAGCUAACCUUGAAUUUGAUUGUUGUGCAGAAUUAAAGGAAGCAAGGAANGCUGGAAGGCUUGGAGAGGUUCCUAUCCCAGUGCCAAACACCCAAGAGUUGCCAAUGGAAGGAGAGUUAUCGCUACUGCAGCAGUUUGCUUGGAAAAAUGAGAAGCAAAACCUGGCACCCGAGAGAGCAACGUUGAUCCAACUAAUUCCUGGGAGUGAUUGAGUGCAUGAGAAACAGACUAAUAAGCUCUUUCCUGUCUUUUCUUUUUCAUAGUUUAAAUAUUUUCUAGUAGGUAGAAUAAUCUUAAGUAGUAUAAUAAAUAGUAAAGUAGAACG
rnacentral:lncRNA from 1 species